AAGGCUCAUAUUCCAAGCUGGUGGCCACAAGAAGGGGAGAUAACUGUGCAACAAUAACCGUGAUAAUUUUGUGUGGCUCUUUGCAUGUUGAAAUUGAAGAUUUGACAGCAUAUUUUGCAAAGCAAAGUGAUCCUUGUCAUAUGAUUUGUUAAUUGGUUUUAAUGCUCUAUUUAUUUAGCUUUUUUUGAGUGAAUAAUGAAAUUAAUAAGAAAAGUUUGGACAUUUCAGGAUAUUAUUUAAAAAUGUAUAAUGUACCAUAUUUUAUAUGAAUCAAUAAGCUAAAAUCCAAUUACUGUUGUUAUUUGUUUAUUUUUUAUUUAAUUUCAUCAUGAUUCAAUUUUGGCAACAGUUAUUCAGAUAAUUUCAUGGAAAUUUAUCUAAUGAUAUUUAUAUCAGGAACAUUUGCUGAAAUAAAAAUCUCUUGAUACUG
rnacentral:misc_RNA from 1 species